rnacentral:rRNA from 1 species
GAGUUUGAUCCUGGCUCAGAUUGAACGCUGGCGGCAUGCCUUACACAUGCAAGUCGAACGGCAGCAUGAUCUAGCUUGCUAGAUUGAUGGCGAGUGGCGAACGGGUGAGUAAUACAUCGGAACGUGCCCUGUAGUGGGGGAUAACUAGUCGAAAGAUUAGCUAAUACCGCAUACGACCUGAGGGUGAAAGUGGGGGACCGCAAGGCCUCAUGCUAUAGGAGCGGCCGAUGUCUGAUUAGCUAGUUGGUGGGGUAAAGGCCCACCAAGGCGACGAUCAGUAGCUGGUCUGAGAGGACGAUCAGCCACACUGGGACUGAGACACGGCCCAGACUCCUACGGGAGGCAGCAGUGGGGAAUUUUGGACAAUGGGCGAAAGCCUGAUCCAGCAAUGCCGCGUGUGUGAAGAAGGCCUUCGGGUUGUAAAGCACUUUUGUCCGGAAAGAAAUGGCUCUGGUUAAUACCUGGGGUCGAUGACGGUACCGGAAGAAUAAGGACCGGCUAACUACGUGCCAGCAGCCGCGGUAAUACGUAGGGUCCAAGCGUUAAUCGGAAUUACUGGGCGUAAAGCGUGCGCAGGCGGUUGUGCAAGACCGAUGUGAAAUCCCCGAGCUUAACUUGGGAAUUGCAUUGGUGACUGCACGGCUAGAGUGUGUCAKAGGGGGGKUAGAAUCCACGUGUASCAUGGAAAUGCGUASAGA